rnacentral:ncRNA from 2 species
GUGAAUAUUUCAGUCAAGGGUGCUCUUAGGAGCUUAAAAGGGAAAGCGGUGAAAAUCCGCUGCAGCCCCCGCUACUGUAUACGGCGACAAAUCCAAUACCCACUGGGAAACUGGGAAGGGUUGGAGGAGGAGGACCCGUGAGCCAGGAGACCUGCCUUUGAUGUUGGCUAAUC